GACGAACGCUGGCGGCGUGCUUAACACAUGCAAGUCGAACGGAAAGGCCCUGCUUGCAGGGUACUCGAGUGGCGAACGGGUGAGUAACACGUGGGUGAUCUGCCCUGCACUUCGGGAUAAGCUUGGGAAACUGGGUCUAAUACCGGAUAGGAGCCAUCUUUAGUGUGGUGGUUGGAAAGUUUUUUCGGUGUAGGAUGAGCUCGCGGCCUAUCAGCUUGUUGGUGGGGUAAUGGCCUACCAAGGCGGCGACGGGUAGCCGGCCUGAGAGGGUGUACGGCCACAUUGGGACUGAGAGACGGCCCAGACUCCGACGGGAGGCAGCAGUGGGGAAUAUUGCACAAUGGGCGCAAGCCUGAUGCAGCGACGCCGCGUGGGGGAUGAAGGCCUUCGGGUUGUAAACUCCUUUCGCUAGGGACGAAGCUUUGUUGUGACGGUACCUAGAUAAGAAGCACCGGCUAACUACGUG
rnacentral:rRNA from 1 species